UACGAAGGGGGCUAGCGUUGCUCGGAAUCACUGGGCGUAAAGCGCACGUAGGCGGCUUUCUAAGUCAGGGGUGAAAUCCUGGAGCUCAACUCCAGAACUGCCUUUUAGACUGCAUCGCUUGAAUCCAGGAGAGGUGAGUGGAAUUCCGAGUGUAGAGGUGAAAUUCGUAGAUAUUCGGAAGAACACCAGUGGCGAAGGCGGCUCACUGGACUGGUAUUGACGCUGAGGUGCGAAAGCGUGGGGAGCAAACAGG
rnacentral:rRNA from 1 species